UACGUAGGGGGCAAGCGUUGUCCGGAUUUAUUGGGCGUAAAGAGCGUGUAGGCGGCCAUACAGGUCAGCUGUGAAAACUCGAGGCUCAACCUCGAGACGUCGGUUGAAACCGUAUGGCUAGAGUCCGGAAGAGGAGAGUGGAAUUCCCGGUGUAGCGGUGAAAUGCGCAGAUAUCAGGAGGAACACCAAUUGCGAAGGCAGCUCGCUGGGACGGUACUGACGCUGAGACGCGAAAGCGUGGGGAGCGAACAGG
rnacentral:rRNA from 1 species